CCUACGGGCGGCUGCAGUGAGGAAUAUUGGUCAAUGGACGAGAGUCUGAACCAGCUAAGUAGCGUGAAGGAUGACUGCCCUCUGGGUUGUAAACUCCUUUUAUAUGGGAAUAAAAUGUUCCACGUGUGGGUUUUUGUAUGUACCAUAUGAAUAAGGAUCGGCUAACUCCGUGCCAGCAGCCCCGGUAAUACGGAGGGUCCGAGCGUUAUCCGGAUUUAUUUGGGUUAAAGGGAGCGUAGGUGGAUUGUUAAGUCAGUUGUGAAAGUUUGUGGCUCAACCGUAGAAUUGCAGUUGAAACUGGCAGUCUUGAGUACAGUAGAGGUGGGCGGAAUUCGUGGUGUAGCGGUGAAAUGCGUAGAUAUGACGAAGAACUCCGAUUGCGAAGGCAGCUCACUGGACUGCAACUGACACUGAGGCUCGAAAGUGUGGGUAUCAAACAGGAUUAGAUACCCGAGUAGUC
rnacentral:rRNA from 1 species